UAAAUUGAGUGGGUAAAGGUUUGCACACAGAACUCACUAGCAACAGUGUAUUGGGAGAAUUGAUUAUGUGGCAAACAAGCAGCUUCUCAGGCGAGUUGCUUUGGGCGGGCGGUAAGGGAACUACAAAGUUCCUCACAGGAUGGGAUCGCAGCAAGAAAGGAAAGCAAGUGAAGUGAGAAAGCUGGAGGUAGAGGAUUCCAGGACCUUCAGGGUAAUGGGGCUAAAGUGAGCAGCAAAACAGAGAGGACGGGGGGAUUGUGAGCUGGGGUGAAGGGCAGCAGUGCUGGAAGUUUGGUCAGGCAAGAAGCUGGCUGUGGGGGAAAGAUGAUGGAUUCACAGUUGGAUGUCAGGUGUGAUAUCAAUAUAUGUCUUAUAUUCACUCACUGGACAGUAGCUGUAUUCUUAAUAACAGCUGUGAAGGCAAAUGAAGAAAUGAUGUAGAGGAAGAAGAGAGGGCACAGACGUCUGCGGUUGCUUGACACAAAACCUGCUUAGAUCAACAUCUCAACAAACUGAGCUAUGGUUAGCCCAAAGGCAGUCCCUGGAAUCUCCAGUGUGCAAAACAAGGGCAUGGAGCAGAAAAACCACCAGAGUGCUGUGCUCUUAGUGAUUGACUGCAGCUCAAAAAUAAUGGGCAGUCCUUUUCCCUGAGUCUACUUCUCCGGUGUGGCUGACAUGAAAGAAGUUCCAGCAGUAGCCACAGGCCAUGUCUAGGAAUGGUUCUUGCCAGGUAUCCUAAAGGGAAAGGUCUGCUCUAUUUUGCAAGUCCAUUCUUCUUUCUUAGAUCUAGCAAAUCCAAGCCUGGAGACCAGAGGUGUGCAGCUGUCACCUCCGCCUCACCACAAAACCUGGAUGCUACUCCUGUUCACCAGAGUAAGAAGAUAUAUCUCCUUCAACACUCCCACACAUUACCUAAAUCUCAGGCCAAGUGCUUUUAUUUUCAGUAUAAUUGAUCUUUAUUUCCUUCAGGAAAAACAUAUGCCCCAGCCUCUUUGGAGCGACUUACCUCUUUGUCUUGUCACCGGCUACCUUAGGAUGGGUUGAUUUGGGGAAGUUUAUAUGACUUGGUAUUAUCUAAUCCCUUCGUUAAAAUUCUAUAGAUUAAUUGUAUACAACAAUUAUCUGUAGGUCAGCUUGAAUGACCUGGUGGGUAUGUUCCCUCUCUUUCAACCUUGCCACUGACCACUAAUUCAUCUUUAACAUGUGACUGUGAGGCAACAUAAGGAGAAAUGACAUGUAAGCUGUCAGAGCGGCAGAUCUGUGUCCUCACAUCUUUCAAUCAGAAUGCCUUUGCCGAUGAGGAAAUGAGCAACUUCUCGGAGUGGGAGAACAGCUUGGGAAGAUGCUAAGCAAGGUCCCCAAGGUAUGUUGCUGGGAUAUAACCUGGCAGGAAGGAGAUUAUAUCAGCAUACAGAUCUAGACUACAGUCCACCAUUGUGGAGAAGUCAAGGCAGAAACAUCAAACGGAUUUCUGCAUGAGGCCAUAAGUUCUACUAGAGAAGAAAAGCUUUCCGUGAAGCCCAGUGAUCUCCGUCCUGCAGCAGGGCUUUGGAAAUGUCGCAUACAAUUUUCACAAAAACUAUACCUCAUCCAGAGUGGCAUAGCUCUUAGGAAGCCAUGAGUCCUUUUCAUCGGCUGCUUUGUGAAGAACUCAUCCAUUACAGUCAUAGCCAAGAAGGGAAGUCUAGUGCCACCUACUGCAAGCAAGACAAACUGUAUUCUUUAUAUAAGAAGCCUUGACCCGUGUUUCUGACUCCACACCGAAUACCUAAGAAGAAGGAAAGAAAGAAGAAAAGGCCCUUUCCUCCUGACAGGUUUAGUUCCAGGCCCCAAAGAGCACCCUAUAUAGAAAUCAGCAUGCUCCUGCAUCAAGCUCGCAGCUAGGCAGCUGCUGAGAGGGGGCCUGUUGCUCUGGCAGACAAAGGCAGAGGAGAAACAAAUGCUGGUAUGCCUUGCCUCAGAAGCUCCUGCUAGGACCACACUGCUUCUCAGCUGACACACCUGUACAGCAUGCACAGAAUCCCAGGCAAAGUAAACAAAUGAUCAUGAAAGGCACCACUAAGUCAAGACAGACCAGAUGUUGGCAUUGUUUUUAGAUAACCCUAAAGAUUCUAGCAUUAAUAAGUCACACCACCCAGAUAACAUAGCUUUCAUUGUUUUUUGGUUUUGUUUUGUUUUGUUUUCCUUUCUUUUUAUGAAGACAGAUUAAAGGAAGAGAAGUCAACUACAGGAAACGUCAUCAUGAAUUAUGAAGCCUGAAGGCUCUGAUUCAAAGGAAAAUGCCCUUUCACAGUUGACCAGAACCUGCAGGAACACAUGCUCUCUGUCUGCCUUCUGUAUCUGCAAUGGAAGAGGUGGAUUCCACAGCAGGUGAAACACAGCAUUUAUAUUGCCUAUUACAGAGUGUCUUAGUUAGGCCUUCUAUUGCUGUGAAGGGAAGGGAAGGGUUUAUUUGACUCACACUUCCUCAGCACUAUUCGUCAGUGAAGGAAGUCGGGACAGGGACUCAAACAGGGCAGGCUUUUGCAGGCAGUAGUGGAUGCAGAAUCCAUGAAGGAGUGCUGCUUACAGGCUUGCUUCCUCUGGCUCCCCGUGGCUUCCUCAGCCUGUGCUUUUAUAGAAUUUAGGACCACGAAUUCAGAGAUGGCCCUACGCACAAUGGUCUGGGCCCUCCUCCAUCAAUCUCUAAUUAAGGAAAUGCCCUACGGCAGGAUCUUAUGGAGGCAUUUUCUCAAUUGAAGUUGCCUUUUUCUGUCAGAUAACUCUAGCCUGUGUCAAGUUGACAUGAAACUAGCCAGUGCACAGAGCAAAACUCUCUGGAGGGUAUUUCCUUUUUCUUACACAGUAUUAUUAUACCAGAAAAGCAGUUUUGUGGGUUGUUUUAUAUUUUUUUAUUUUAAAAUUUAACUAUGAUAUAACUACAUUACUUCUGGCUUCCUGUUACUCCUUGGAGAUCCUCCCAUGUCCCCCUUCUUACGGUCACCCCCAUGUCUCCCUUAUUCCAAACUCUUCCCUGUGCUCCUUAACUCCUUUUCAGAUUAACGGCAUUUUUCACUAUAAAUACAACCUGCUGAUUCUGUUUAGUGUAGCUUGUGCAUAUAAGAUUUUAGGACUGGCUACUUUGUCUUGGGUAACCAGCUAGGGGGCUCAUCUCUGGGAGAGACAAGCUCUUCUUCUUUCAGCCUGGAGUUCUUUGUCUAAGGGUGGAACCCCAUGAGGUUUGUCCUGUCUUGUUAGCAUAUAGAUUGCUAUUGUCAUUGUUGGGUCUUCCUUGAGAUACCAUGGGUGCUAUUCUUAUUAAGUCAAAUAUCAAAGUAUGUCACUGUGAUGGAACAGAACUUGGUUUAUAAGAAACUUGAAAAUCUAGUCACAACACACAUGAAAGAUGAAAGAAUUGAAUAAAUAUAAGUUUAAAGUCCUUGUUCUUCCCAGUGACCCUCCAUAUCAGGAGUUGUGGGCUCCCAAGAUAAAGCAGGACAAUAGUGGGUUCCUUGGAACUAUCUCUAACUUAGAUCAUUGAACCUUAGUACGCUUGAAUCUUCUAUUAAUUUUGGACAUUAAACUAGAGAUCUACUGACAAACUCUUCCUAGGCCUGGAUCCUAAGAAAAACACCCCACAGUUUCCUCUUUUGUUUUGUUUUUCAUACUUUUCAAUUUAGAUACUCAUUGUCAAGUCAAUAAGGGCAACUUACUACAAUUUCAUUGCCUGAGGAAAAUAACUAUUAAAAUGUUGCAUUUUAACAAAA